rnacentral:rRNA from 1 species
AUUGAACGCUGGCGGCAGGCCUAACACAUGCAAGUCGAGCGGAAACGAGUUAUCUGAACCUUCGGGGAACGAUAAUGGCGUCGAGCGGCGGACGGGUGAGUAAUGCCUAGGAAAUUGCCCUGAUGUGGGGGAUAACCAUUGGAAACGAUGGCUAAUACCGCAUGAUGCCUACGGGCCAAAGAGGGGGACCUUCGGGCCUCUCGCGUCAGGAUAUGCCUAGGUGGGAUUAGCUAGUUGGUGAGGUAAGGGCUCACCAAGGCGACGAUCCCUAGCUGGUCUGAGAGGAUGAUCAGCCACACUGGAACUGAGACACGGUCCAGACUCCUACGGGAGGCAGCAGUGGGGAAUAUUGCACAAUGGGCGCAAGCCUGAUGCAGCCAUGCCGCGUGUAUGAAGAAGGCCUUCGGGUUGUAAAGUACUUUCAGUCGUGAGGAAGGUAGUGUAGUUAAUAGCUGCAUUAUUUGACGUUAGCGACAGAAGAAGCACCGGCUAACUCCGUGCCAGCAGCCGCGGUAAUACGGAGGGUGCGAGCGUUAAUCGGAAUUACUGGGCGUAAAGCGCAUGCAGGUGGUUUGUUAAGUCAGAUGUGAAAGCCCGGGGCUCAACCUCGGAAUAGCAUUUGAAACUGGCAGACUAGAGUACUGUAGAGGGGGGUAGAAUUUCAGGUGUAGCGGUGAAAUGCGUAGAGAUCUGAAGGAAUACCGGUGGCGAAGGCGGCCCCCUGGACAGAUACUGACACUCAGAUGCGAAAGCGUGGGGAGCAAACAGG